GUAAAAGUCAAAACAAAAUCCACAAUAUACAAAAAUUCAUCUAAUGGCAUUAUAAGAGAAUUAAUAUAGUUUAGAUAUACUAUUAUUCUUAAGAUCUAUAAUUUACAUUAUCAUCACAUUCAUAUUAUUCUGUUACUAACUUACUAUUGCCAUUAUCCUAUAAUUUAUUUUUUUUCUAUUAUUAUUUCUCAUCAACCUAAUAUUAUAU
rnacentral:lncRNA from 1 species